UGUCAAGCGUGUGUCACCUUCGCCUCUACUGACAUUUCCCGACGUUGUCCUGUUGAAAUAGCAGCGGUGGUUUGGUACGACGAGUGCCUCCUACGAUACUCGGACGAAAAUAUAUUUUCCGCCGUGGCUGAAGAACCUGCAAUUAUCUUGUUCAACACUCAGAACAUCAGUGACCAAGUCCGUUUCGACAGCCAAGUUCAAGAAGUGAUGAGUGGUACAGCAACCCAAGCCGCAAACGCAGCACCAGGUGCUAAAAAAUUCGCGACUAGAGAGGCAGAUGCCAAUUUUACAUCGAGUUUUCGAACACUAUAUGUCCUUGCUCAGUGUACACCGGAUUUGCCAACCUCCGAUUGCGACAGAUGCCUGCGAUACGUAACUGGAAACCUUCCAAGAGGAAGCCAAAGAGGAAGAGUGUUGAGUCCUAGCUGCAACGUCAGAUAUGAAGUUUACUUGUUCUAUAAUCUAAAUCAAACAGCAGUUGCAUCUCCUCCACCUCCUCUAGUUCCAGGUUUAUCCUUACUAUUCAUUCAUAAUUUUGGGUUAGAUCAUUAAAAUGAUAAAGCUAGAGGAAAUAGAUUUUUAAUCUAAUAGUCUACCACCUAGACACCCUUUUUGACUCUAUUAACGGUAUAUAUCAUGGCUUCAGAAGGGAAUGGCAGAAGAUCAUGGUCAAUAAUUAUUGCCAUUGUUGCUCCAAUUGCUGCCUUCAUUUUGCUUUUCAUACUGACUUGUUGGCUGUUAAAGAGGGGAACAAGGAAGUACAAUGCUACCCACGGAGAAAACGGUAAAGGGAAUGAUUAAGCUUGUGCUUCUUUUGAGCCAUUUUAUUUCCUUGUCUUUCACAAAAAAAUUUGUCACCCCUUCGCCAUUUGAUUGUUUAGCAGGAUAUGACAUAACCACUAUAGAAUCAUUGAAGUAUCAUUUUACCACAAUUGAAGCUGCAACAGACAAGUUUUCAGAUGCCAACAAGCUAGGCAAAGGAGGUUUUGGUGAGGUUUACAAGGUACUUGGUCAUUUUGUUCAUACAGAGUCCAAUCAAUUUGAUAAAAAACUUGGUCUAAAUACGCAUUUUAAUGACUGGUUAUUAAUUUGUAUAUGCUUAGGGUAUCCUACCCAACAAACAAGAAAUAGCUGUUAAGAGGUUAUCAAGAGGUUCAGGACAAGGCACUGAGGAAUUUGAAAAUGAGGUCGUAUUGAUAGCCAAGCUUCAACACAGAAAUCUAGUCAGCGUAUUGGGCUUUUGCCUGGAAAGAGGUGAAAAGAUACUUGUCUACGAAUAUGUUCCCAACAAGAGCCUUGACUAUUUUAUUUUUGGUAUUUUUCACAUACUUUGCAAUGACCUUUUUGAGAAUUUGCAUUUGCUUUAAGGUUGGUUUUUAAACACAAUUUUUUGUUUUUGUUUAGAUCGUGCGGAGGAAGGACAAUUGGAUUGGUCGAGACGAUACAAGAUAAUUGGAAGAAUUGCUCGUGGAAUUCUUUAUUUGCACGAGGAUUCUAGACUUAGAAUCAUUCACCGUGAUCUCAAGGCCAGCAAUAUAUUAUUAGAUGGAGACAUGACCCCCCAAAUAUCGGAUUUUGGCAUGGCAAGAAUUUUUGGAAUUGAUCAAACUCAAGGAACCACUAGAAAGAUUGUUGGAACCUAGUAAGCCCUGACUUUGUUCAGCCUAAUUGUUGAAUGUUCUAAUACCUCCAUUACCUUGAAAUUGUUAUUGGUUCCACAGCGGCUAUAUGUCUCCAGAAUAUGCAAUGCAUGGGCAAUUUUCGAUGAAAUCGGAUGUGUAUAGCUUUGGUGUUUUAGUUCUAGAAAUCAUAAGUGGCCUAAGGAACAGAGAUUUCUAUGAAACAGAUGGUGCUGAGGACCUCAUUAGCUACGUGCGUAUAAUUCUUUUGGCCUUUUUUGUUCAAAUAUCCUUUAUAUAGAACUUAUUGAAUCUUUGAUGAACCAAUGCAGGCUUGGAAACUAUGGAAGGAUGAAAGACCCUUAGAAUUGUUGAACCCUGUUCUGAGGAAUGAUUACUCGAGAAAUGAAGUCACCAAAUGCAUCCAACUCGGAUUAUUAUGUGUUCAGGAAGAUCCAGCUGACCGGCCAACGAUGGUUACCAUUGUUCUAAAGCUCAAUAGGCACUCUGCCAAACUACCAAUGCCUAAACAACCAGCAUUUGUCUUUGAUAGUAGAACAGAUGGGAGGAUGCCAGACAAGGGGCUUGAAUCGGACCAAUCUACUACUCAAUCAAUGCCGUCGUCUAUCAAUGAGGUAUCUAUUACGGAAUUAUACCCUCGGUAAUGUGAGCUAAUGGAUGCAUCAUCAUCCUCAACCUCAAGGUAGAUAGCUAUCUACCGACGUUGAUCAACAAGUAAAAUUUUAAAUAAAGUGAUAAUUUAUUUAAAAUCAAUUUUAUAAAAUUAUAAUGUAAACAUGGAUGAUUAUUUCCUUAGCUAGAAUAAUAUAAUAUAAUAUAAUUUAUAAUAUUAUUAGGAUAUGGUGUCGAUAAUGUAAAAAGGAGUGUCAUGACCCAACCUAGGUCACUGGCCUCAUUUGGAUUUUUAUGUAAUUCUUAUGUAUGUGAAAACGAAUCGUUUUCUAUUUUCUCUGCAAUUAAUCUUCUCAUUUAUUAGUCUUUAUGACCAAACUUAUUUCUAUGGAAAAAUGUAAUUUCUUAUAGAAAUCUUCUUUUGCAUUCAAAAACCGAAGAAUACACAUGUUCAUUUUUGUUUUCAUGACAAAGUGGAAAGUUUUGCUUAUCAAGAAAAAAAACAAUGAAGAAAUAUUCUUCUUUUUUUUUUUUUUGGUCAAAAUUACUGUCCAUAGUCGUGUUGCAAAGUUGUGGCUGACUAGUGUAGUUUCCUGGACCAUAAACUGCUUUAUCAUAUUUAUGAGAUUUCGAUCAAUUAAUAACAGAAGACGAUAUAGAAAAUUUUAAAAAAAAAAAAAACCAAGACCAUGACGUAAAACUCUCUGUUAUUACACGUAUGCACGAGAAAAAAACACACUGAAAGUGCUUGCCUACUACAAACCAAAAACCCCUUCAAGUGGAACAAAUUAGAUUACUCAGUACUACUGCAAUCGGAUUACUCGAGUGUUUCGACCCACCGAGAUUCAUGGCCAACUGGCUCAUUGAGUAUUCGUUUUUGACCCUACUCUUUUAAGUUCUUAGCUUCCAAUUUGAUUGAGAUUUCUAGUCUUCCUUGUAGACUAAUACAAUCCAAAAAUUCGACUCAAAUUUUUCAGUAAAGGAUCAACGAAUUUUCUGUAAUGGCGAAAAGUAUUUCCCUUUAUACAACAACCCAUAUUAUAAUUUAUAAAUCUGGUAUCUCUUGUCUUAUAAUCCAAGCUAAAACAAGGUGAUGACUUUUAUAAACUUGUUGCUGUUAGGAAUAGUACUUUCCUUGCUUACCCCUGCAAUUGAAGCUCAGCAGCCUACUUAUCUGUACCACGAUUGUCCAAACACCACCACUUUCACCGUAAUCAGCACUUACCAAGCCAACCGCAAUACCGUCUUAUCAUCGCUGUCGUCUAAUAGCACCCGUGGUUAGGGGUGUUCAUUCGGUUAACCGACCGGUUAACCGACCCGAAAUUACUAUAACCGAAUUAACCGACCUUCCAAAAAUUUUAACCGUUAACCGAACCGAUUUUUAAAAAAAAAAAAUUAACCGAACCGAAAUUUUUUCGGUUAAUAAGGUCGGUUAACCGAAUUAACCGAAAAUUAUGUAUUUUUUGUUUUUGGUUAAAAAUUACCCGAAUUACCCGAAUUAACCGAAUUACCGAAAAAUACCCGAAUUACCCAAAAUUUUUAUUUUUUAUUUUUAAAAGUUAAAAAAUUUAUAAAUUAUUAAAGUAAAUUGGGUUUUAAACUUUAGUAAAUUGGGUUGUCUUUUAGUUUUAUUUUUAUUGGAUUGGGUAAUUGAGUAAACUUUAGUUUUAGUUUUAUUGGGUUGGGUAAUUGGGUUGGCUAAUUGAGUUUGGGCUGGGUUGGAUAAUUUUAUUUAUUAAUUUUUUCGGUUAACCGAAAAAUUUCGGUUAACCGACCGAUUUCGAACCGAAUUAACCGUUAACCGAAAAAUCAUAAAAAAAUUAACCGAAUUCGGUCGGUUAACCGAAUUUUUUCGGUUUUACCCGAAUUAUGCACACCCCUACCCGUGGUGAUGGUUUCUACAACACAACCGCAGGCAGGAGCCCUGACAUGGUAUACGGUCUUUUCCAUUGCCGUGGGGAUCUUUCUACCAGCGACUGCCAAGCGUGUGUCACCUUUGCCACCACCGAUAUUUCCCAACGUUGUCCCAACCAAACAACGGCGGUGGCUUGGUACGACGAGUGCCUCCUACGGUACUCGAAUCGAAAUAUCUUCUCCGUUGUCGAAGACCGACCCGCAGUUAGAUUGAGUAACUAUCGGAAUGCAACUGGGACAGAAAUCCCUUUCGACCAGCUAGUGGCCGCCACAGUUGUUAUGAACAUGAACGAUAUAACAACCCAAACGGAAAAUAAACCCGCAGGUUCUAAAAAAUUUGCGACAAGAGAGACCAAACUUUCAAGUUCUCGAACACUGUACACGCUCGCCCAGUGUACACCGGACUUAUCAGGCAGUGACUGCAGUAUAUGUCUGCAAGGAGCACUAGAACUUCUUCCAACUGGAUGGCUAGGCGGAAGAUUGUUGAGUCCUAGCUGCAACGUCAGAUAUGAAAUUUACCCCUUCUAUAAUCCAACGAUAGUUUCGCCUCAACCUCCUCCUGCAGCAGGUUUAUCCUCACUGUUAAUUGAUAAAUUUGAUCCUUUCCUUUUUCCUUUUUUAUAGUUCUCGACAAAAAGAAAACAAGAUUCACUACAUUCUCUUUUCUUUUUUCUGGUCGGUAAUUUGUAAAUUAAUAUAUAGGUAAAGAACAAUCCCCUGUUGUCAUAAGGAUUAUAAUGAACUGAAUUGAGGAUAUCUAAUUCUGCUCUUAUUUAAUCAGAAGAAGAGAAACAAAACAAAUCAAACCGGAUUCCAGUACUUGUUGCAAGUUUAUCAGCAAUUUUUUGGCUGGCUGUGGUUUUUAUCUCUGGUUUCUUCAUCCGGAGGAGGAGAAACAGUCGAGGUACAUAUCGGAGUGAUCUUUCUGGCAAGUAUUGUAACUUCUUUUUAUAUUCUUAUGCUGAUCAUAUUAUGAUUUUAUUACAGACGAAGAAAACAGCCAAGAAGUUCAAUUACUUGACUUGGUAAAUGAGCACUCAAGGGAAACUUUUAACGGAGAAAAUGGGGAGAGAUCUCAGGAGUUUCCUUCUAUACAGUUGGAUGUUUUACAUGCAGCGACAAAUCACUUUUCUGAUGAAAAUAAGCUGGGACAGGGUGGAUUUGGUCCUGUAUUCAAAGUAAUUAUAUAACUUGAAACUUUUAUCUGAGUUGGCUUUAGAACUGAUGUAUGCGAAUUAAGUAUGUGAAUACUCCUGCAUUUGAAUUUUGAUAUGCUAUGUAAAUGAAUGAAUUCUUCCAGGGAACAUUAGCAAAUGGUAAAGAAAUUGCAGUUAAAAGGCUGUCAGAAACUUCCAGUCAAGGGCUUGUUGAAGUCAAGAAUGAAAUCAUGUUAAUUGCUAAACUACAACAUAGAAAUCUUGUGAGGCUCUUAGGAUGUUGCUUAGAGAAAAGUGAGAAGUUGCUUGUAUAUGAAUUCAUGCCCAACAAAAGCCUGGACGUUUUCCUAUUCGGUUUGAUUCUUGAACCUUUAACUAAUAAGAAAAAAAAACAUGAAACAAUUAAUGAAAAUGUGCUCAUUUGUUUUUUUUUUUCCUUUUUUUCCACAUUUAUAUCAGAUUCGAAAUUAGCUGCUCAACUGGAUUGGCAGAAACGAUUCAAUAUUAUUAAAGGAAUUGCUCGAGGUAUUUUGUAUCUACACGAAGAUUCUAGUCUAAAAAUUAUACACAGGGAUCUUAAAGCAAGUAAUGUUCUACUCGAUCAUGAGAUGAAUCCGAAAAUUUCUAAUUUUGGUAUGGCAAGAAUUUUUGAAGAUCAAAACGAAGCAAAUACCAAUAGAGUCGUUGGAACAUAGUAAGUAUGCAUAUUUUCAUGACACAUUCCUUUACAGUGCGAGGCUUAUGGGAAUAUUGUUAUUUAAUUAUUUUCUUUCUUUAUAAAUUUUUUAUGAUAUCAUCCAAUUUUAUUUUAAUAAAUUGUCUCUUUGUUUCUUAUGAAUUAAAAUAGUGGAUAUAUGGCACCAGAAUAUGCUAUGGAAGGACUCUUUUCUAUCAAAUAUGAUGUUUUCAGCUUUGGAGUCCUUUUAUUGGAGAUUAUUAGUGGAAAAAAGAACAAUGGUUUUCAUCAUUUAGAGCAUGGUGAAAGCUUGUUGACUUUUGUAUGUUCUUUACCCUCCCUUUUGUUCUCAAACUAUAGAUUAAAUGUUUUAACUAUUCUACUAAUAAUUUUAAGCUACAAUUGUAGGCAUGGAAAUUAUGGUCCAAGGGCGAAGGAAUGGAGCUAAUAGAUCAGGUCCUUGUUCCUUCAUGUGUGGCUUCUGAGGUGCUUAAAUGCAUUCAUAUUGGGCUAUUAUGUGUGCAAGAAGACCCGGCAGACAGACCAACCAUGUCAUCUGUGAUUUUCAUGUUGGCAAGUGAUAGUACCAUAACACUUCUUUGUCCAUCUGAACCAGCAUUUUUCGUUGGGCGUGCAAUUGCAAAGCCAACUGAACCUAUUUCAGAUGAUGGAGUCUUUUCGGUUAAUGAGGUCACAAUUUCAAAUUUCUCACCUCGCUAAUUUGAUUGUUGUACUAACAAUACUAGUUUAUCAAAAACCUUUCAUUUUUAUUUUCCAGUCUGAAUUAACAACUAUGAAUACUAAAGCCAUGAUUUUUAAGAACUUGAAGAUGAAACUAGAUAUACAUAUAUAUGAAUUUCAAAUUGAGUAUGAAGUUGGUGAUAAAUCAAUUUAAGAAAAUUAAUUUUUUACUCAAAUUUUUUAAUGUAUCGAAGCACCUAAGAAAGUUGAAAAUUAUAUGGAUUUAUACUUUCUAAAGCAUAUAUAAUUUAGCUACUCUUUGCGAUUUGCACAAGGAAACAAACAUAUAGCAGGGAAGAGUGUAAUUUUUAUACUCUUGUAAUGAUAAAGGAGUUGCAAUAAUUUAUUUCAUUAGUUUACACUUAAUCUGGAAUUCAAUUACAAUAAAAGGAUCCAAUUAACUUCCAAAGACUAGUCUUGCAUCUAGAAAUUAAGAGUUUGGAUACGUGUUACCUUGUGCAAAGUGUCGCUACUUUGUGCAAGUUUCUCAUAUGCUCAGUUUAGAUUAAUUUAAAUUAUGUGGAAAAUUAUAACUGUGUUUCACAAAAGUACAAAUUUAUAUGACUUAUAUUACUUCAACAUCAAUAUAAUAUUUCAUUACUCGAAUCCGACGAUUAAAUCAGGAAAUAAAGAGUUGCAUUUAAUAAUAUCAGUAACCAAGUCAAUGGAAUGCUUUCACUGUCCCGAACAUGGUCAUGUAGCCAACUGCCACAUUGAAUAUUAUUUUUUGUUAACUUCUGCCCCAUCCAUUCAUUGGGAGGCCCUAAACAAAAUACAGCAAAAAUAGUUCAACAUGCGUAAAUUAAUGUUUUUAGUCAUAUGACAAAGAAUUGACUAACUUGUGUAGCUUCCUCGAACAUAAGCUGCUUUAUCAUCUUCAUCUUGUGAGAACGGGUCAACAAAAUACAGCCACCUUCGACAAUUGAACUUUUAAUUUGUAAGUGAAUUCCUUAAAGAAACAGGCAACGGAAAUUUCAAGAACAAUAUUGUUUCACUUCUUGUUUUCAGGUUUAACAUUUACAUGCCUCGUUAUUCUCACCAUUUCCUUCGACCCUUAUUUCCAGCGUUAUUGGGCGAACAUCAUCGGCAACUGCACCGCCAAUAGUGCCUACGAGCGUGACCUGAAUAGCAUCUUCAAGGAGAUCACCUCUAUAACAAAAUCCAAUUAUGGGUUUUACAGCAACAAGGUCGGCGAAGUCAAGGCCAUGGCACUUUGCAGAGCAGAUGUUAAGCUAGAUGUUCGCUCUAGUUGUUUAAAUGAAAAUAUCUAAUUAUUAUUAAAAAAAAGUUAAGAAUUCAAAUCUAAUUAUUUUGAACUUGAAUUGACACAAAUGGAAUAGAUUUAAACUCAAAAUGACUCAAACAGAUCAUUUAAAAUUACUAAAAUCUAAAAAGAUCAAAACUCGAUUCAAAUUUAUAAUGACGAAAUUAAAAGGCUAGUACCUCAACCCUAAAUAAUUCAAAAUCCUAAUUAAUCCUAAUUGAAAUAAUCUAAAAAUUUUAAAACUAGAUUACUUGCAGGCUUGCUUAUUACAGUCAUUGAAUACAUGUCAUUUAUUGGUAACCAAGUCAAUGGAGUGCUUUCAUUGACCCGAACAUGGUCACGUAACUAACUGCCACAUUGAAUAAUUAUUUAUCAUUUACUUCCGUUCCAUCGAUUCAUUGCGGACCCAGCUCUCCUUGUAGACCAAUUUACACAACAAAACUGCUUUAUCAUCUUCGUAUUGUUAGAACCAGUCAACAAAAUACAGCCACCUUCAACAAUUAAACGUUUAAUCUGUAAGUGAAUUCCCUAGAGAAAAUGGCAACGGAAAUUUCAAGAACAGUACUGUUUCACUUCUUGUUUUCAGGUUUAACAUUUACAUUCCUCGUUACUUUUGCCGUUUCCUUCGACCCUUAUUUCCUGCAUUCUUGUGCAAACAACAUCGGCAACUACACCGCCAAUAGUGCUUACGAGCGUGACCUCAAUACCAUCUUCAAACAGAUCACCUCUAUUACGAAAUUGAAUUACGGAUUUUACAGCAAGAAAGUCGGCGAAGUCAACGCCAUGGCACUUUGCAGAGCAGAUGUUAAGCUAGAUGUUUGCACUGGUUGUUUAAAUGAAACUAUAUCAAGGGUCAAGCUGGAUUGUCCUAACAGCAAAGAAGCCAUCGGAUGGUCUGCGGAUUGCACGUUACGGUACUCGAACACAAACCUCUCCGAGAAGUUGGAAAUUAAUCCUCAAACCUGUCUAUAUAAUACAGGAUCUACGGCUGAUGAGUACUUUGAGCUCAGACUCGGAGAGUUGUUGAGUGACCUGCGUAAUAAAGCAGCAGCAGGGGGUGCUCUUCUUAAAUACGCAGCAGGUAACUCGUCGCUCAGGGCUUCGGAAAGAUUAUACGCUCUAGUGCAGUGCACUCCUGAUUUGUCUGAGGGAGACUGCAAUCAUUGUCUUGAUAAGGCGGCAACUGACGGGAUUCGGCGGUGUUGCCUUAAGCAGAGGGGAUGCCGGGUUCUUAGUCCUAGCUGUAACUUGAGGUUCGAAACAUAUCCCUUUGUUGAAGCCGGAGCGGAGUUUCCACCACCCCCGUCACCCUCGGGCGAUCGGCAAAAAGAAGGUACGACAAUUUUCCUUCCACUGUCACUUCUUCCAACCACCUGUUAGCACAGCUUCACUUUGGAGGCACUAUAUUAGUCUAUCACUCUUGUUGAAUCGAGAAAAUCUGAUUCUGCCCUUAUUUAAUUAGAAGAGGAACCAAACAAAUCAAAAAGGACUCCAGUAGUUGUUGCAAGUUUAUCAGUGAUUUUUGGGGUAGCUGUGGUUUCUAUCUCAGGUUUCUUAAUCUGGAAGAGGAGAAACAAUCAAGGUAUGCAAUGGCAAACAUUACAAAUUUGUUUUGUAUUGUUAUAUUGAUCACUUUCUUACUUUCUUCUUUUAUUAAUUGCAGAUACAGAGUACAGAGAAAUUCAAUUACUUGACUUGGUAGAGGGAAGAAUUGAUAUGUGAAAAUCAAGUUUGUAACGUUAGGUAUAAAUAAAUGAAUUCUUUCGGGGAACACUAGCUGAUGGUAAACAACUGCAGUUAAAAGGCUAUCAAGAACUUCCGAUCAAAAGCUUGUUGAGUUCAAAAAUGAAAUCAUGUUCUUUUUACCUUUUUUUUUCCCUACUAAGCUACAAUUUUAGGUAUGGAAACUCUUAUCUGAAUAGAGGUAAUAGAUAAGUUCCUUAUCCCGUCGAGUGUAAUUUUUGAGGUGCUUAAAUGCAUUUUGGGUUAUUGUACAUGCAGGAAAAUCUGGUACUCAGACUAAUCAAAUCAUCUCUUAUUGUCAUGUUGGCAACCGAUACCGUAAAGCUUGCUCGUGCAAUUAAACCAACAUCCUUUGUGGGCAUAUCAUUGCAGAAUCAAUCAAACACAUUUCAAAUUAUGAAUUAUUAUUAUUAUUAUUAUUAAAAUUUUUCACCACGCUGAUUUGAUCACUAUUUUAAUUUUAAGAUUAUAUAUUUGAAUGUAAAAAUUAGUAUAAAGCUGAUAACUAAUCAUUUUAUGAAUAUAUUUUUAAUGUGUUGAAGCACCUUAAUUAGUAAACAAAGUUCAAACUUGCAUCAAAUUAUACUCCCAAAAAUAUACAAAUUUUAGCUAACCUUUCUUCUUUCAAUCCGCUCUGCAAGACUUACAUUAGGGAUGAGAAAAUUUUGGUUCAAUUUGAAAAAAUUGAAAAUUUUCAAAUUUAAAAUUAAUCAAAUCGAGUUAUUCGAGUUAUUUAAUUUUCUCGAGUCAACUCAGACAAGUAAUUCUAUUUUCGAGCUCAAAUCAGGUUGAAUUUCAUAAUUUGAAUAACUCGAAUAAUUGAAUAACAUUUUGGUAUAACUACUCCUUUUAACAAUGAGCAAUUCGGUCUCUCUCUUAACAAAAAUUACAAAAACUUCAAAAUAAUUUUUAAAAUUCAAAACAUUUAUAAAAAUUUCAAACCUUAUAUUUUUUUAAAGAAUUGUAAAAAAAAAUUGUAAAAAAAUUCUAAAUAAUAUAUAAAGAAAGUUACGAUUUUAAAAUUUUCUAAAAUAAUAAUUUUAGGGACUUAAAUAAUUUAAUUAAUUAUUCAAGUUUAUCAUAGUAAAAUAUCUUUUCUUUUUUCUUAUUUUUCUUUGAAUUUUUUUAAAUAUAUACAGUUUCAAAUUUAAGUGCUCAAACAUGAAAUUAGUUAUAUUGUAAUAAUAUUUUAAUUUGACGUGAUUAAUUUUUUGAUUUAGCUCGAACAAUUUCACUCGACUUAAAUUUCAUUUCACGCGACUUGAUUCAAAAAAAAUUCAAAUCAAAUUAAGAUGAUAAAAUAGGACUAGUCAACUUGAUUAACUCGAAAUUUUUUCACUUCAUUCGAUUGAGCCUUCUUCCUUAUUUACGUCGCAAAUAGAAAACAUAUAGUAGUAAGGAAGAGUUCAAUUUUUAUACUAAAAAUAAAAUUUCAAAAAGUUACAUGUGCUUUUUUUUAUAAAUAUACUCUAAAAUGGGUUAAUCUAAAUUAUAAAAUCUAAAAAUUUAUUUGAUAAUGGAUCCAAUAAUGAAUAAUUUCUCUACCACCGAAUUGAACAUUGCAUUUCAGUUUUAAAAUCUAUUCUAAUCAAAGAAACCAAAUUAACUUGACUUUGAAGAAUCAAGUAAAGUCCUAAACCAUAAAUCAAGGCAGUCUGAUAAUUGGGUAUAUAUGCACUAAAGAUAACCAAGAAAAAUGAGACACGUUUCCUAUCAUGUCCUUUCAAAAUGUCUUUAAAUUCUACCCAUAUAUUUUUCCACAACUUGGUUGCCAUUUUAUGAGAAAUAUCCAUCAAUUGCAGACAAAAACAUACAGGAACCCAAAGACCAAGUCUUAUAAACUUGUCGUUAUUGGCUGCACCAGAAAAAACAUCAUGUUUUGUAUCCUCAUAUUCUCAUUUCUGUAGAGGAUUUUUUUUAUGGCAAAAAGGAAUUUCCUAAGUGAAACGGAAUGUAACAAAAGACGAUGAAAAGGACGAUUAGAAUAGAUAUUUUAUAACAUUAAGUGUAAAGAUAGAUGAUAGUUUAUAAGUGUGGCUGUAGGUACAAGAGUAAUGAAGUUGCACAUUAAAUAGGAGUAAUAAGAGGCAUUUUUACUGAUAAAGAAUUCAAGUCUUGUAUAAUAGUCCAUUUUAAAAAAAAUGGAAGAUGUAUUUCAUGUUACAAGAAAAGGUUAACAUGUAACAUUUAACUAUCGAUACAAGUUCUUGUGCUUUAAGUUUCUUUGUUGAAGAUGGAUGGAUUGACUUAUCACACAAAAUUAAGCUCUCCAAAAUAUUAAAAGAGUAAAGAGAAUCGAAGAAUCUUAUUAUAUUCUAGUCAAGAAAUAUUUUCUCAUAUCUUAUUGAUAAGAGUGUUUGAGUAUUAUUGACAGGUUGUUCCUAACAAUAGGUGUUUCGAAUAUAUCUAUUCUUAAACUUCAAUUAUUCUAAAUAAGAGUUGUUUUAAAUAUUAAUUGUUCUUAACAAGAGUUAUUCUCAAACAAUUACUACUAUAGGCAUCAACGGUUGUGAACAUAAUAGCUAUUCUAGAACAAAGGUUGAUUUGAGUAGUGAUUAUUCUAAACAAAAGUUAUUCUUCAGAUAAAAAUAUUUAAAAAGAAAACAAUAGAAGUGAUGAGAAUAUGUUUAUCUCAAAGUUGAAUUUAUGUGAAUCAAUCCUACUCAAAUUUUAAACAACUUAAACUCAAUAUGACUCCAAUGAGUAACUUAAAAAUACUAAAAUCUCAAGGAAUAAACCUAAAAUGAUCCAAACCCAUAUUAAUUAAAUCCAAAAUUAAUCCUAAACAAAUAAUUUAAAAUUUUUAACUGGAAGCAACAGAACCUGACAGAUCUACCUCAAAGUAAAACUCAUUUCAAAGUGAGACAAAUUAGAUUAUUAUUUGCAGUCUUGCAUACUACAGUCCUUAUAUAUAUGUCAGAUGUUUUAGGUAAUCUGUGUCAAUGGAGUUCUUUCACUGUCUUGGACGUAGAUGUAGCCAACUGCCACAUUGAAUAGUUUUUCACUUCCAUCCUCAUCUGGACCCAAACUCGUCAUCUUUGUAGACUAAAUCAUAUACGCAAACAAUCCAAAAAUCUAAUGACUUGACUCGUAUUUUUUUAUUAAGGAUCAGAUAAUCUUCCACGAUGGACCAAAACUUUAGCCCUUACUAAAAGCACCCAUAUCAUAAAUUUCAGAAUAUAGCUGAGCUCUCUCGUCUUAUGAUCCAAACAAGAAGGUAAAGCCAAAAAAAAAAAGAAAUGCAGAGCUCCACAGUUUUCAUAACCCUGUGGCUGUUAUUAAUAGUCUUUUCCGUGCUUAGCCCUGUAACUGAAGCUCAGCCGCCUACUUAUCGCUACCACGUUUGUCCUAACACCACCACUUUCCGCAUAAACAGCACUUACCAAGCCAACCGUGAUACCCUCUUAACUUCUCUAUCGUCUAAUGGCAGCCGUGGUAAUGGUUUCUACAACACAACUUCAGGCAGAAACCCCGACACGGUUUACGGUAUUUUCCUCUGCCGUGGGGAUCUUUCUACCAGCGUUUGUCAAGCGUGUGUCACCUUCGCCUCUACUGACAUUUCCCGACGUUGUCCUGUUGAAAUAGCAGCGGUGGUUUGGUACGACGAGUGCCUCCUACGAUACUCGGACGAAAAUAUAUUUUCCGCCGUGGCUGAAGAACCUUCAGUUACCUUGUUCAACACUCAGAACAUCAGUGACCAAGUCCGUUUCGACAGCCAAGUUCAAGAAGUGAUGAGUGGUACAGCAACCCAAGCCGCAAACGCAGCACCAGGUGCUAAAAAAUUCGCGACUAGAGAGGCAGAUGCCAAUUUUACAUCGAGUUUUCGAACACUAUAUACCCU
rnacentral:lncRNA from 1 species